rnacentral:pre_miRNA from 1 species
AAUACUCAUCGCUUUGAGUUUUUGUUGGUAACAUUUGAUCAUUCGUCUUAUUCAAAAAAAUUAUAGAAUUAUUAUUUAUUUUGUUUAUGACUUGCUUUAUUAUCAAAAGUAUUUUAAGCAUGACUUAUCCUUUUCUGUAUUUACACUAAUUUUUCAAAUAAAACAAAUGGUCAAACGUUACAAGCAAAAUGUCAAAGCGUCCACUAAU